rnacentral:other from 1 species
GAGGUGUCGUCCCCCUGCGGUAACAACUGGGUGAACCGACAAGCGUUUUGAGGGAGCCCGUAUUUCGUUUCCCAGUACAGAGAUCCUCCCUUGUUGAGGAAGCUGGAACAGACGAUGAGGGCACCCACCUUAUGAAGGUGGGUUCAUUUCGCGGCCGCAGGGGGCGACUUCUCU